GAACCAUCUCAACUCUCCUGCCACCCCCCCACCCCUUCCCCAGAAGAAACUUUGAAAGUUUAAUCAACCACUGUUAUGCCAAUAUGUGCAAGAUAGGUGUCUCAACCUGUAUUGACACCCACAGAAGCACGAUCAAGAAUUGUACAUCUGAAAACUGCGGCAGUCAGAACCGAACACGGAGAAGCAGCGUCCAGUUCUUCAGCUUCACGUAUCUGGAACAAAUUCCCAGAGAGCUGCAGGUCUGCCGAGAUUCCGGCAGCUUCAAAUUAAGACUGAAGACGUUUCUCUUUGCUGCUGCUUUUAAUUUAACCAGAUUAAGUCAAUUCAGCAGGUUCUUUUUUUAUAAAUCUCAGUUUUCAUUAUGACUCCGAUUUGAUGACUCUGAUUUACACUCACCAUGUGUCCCCCUUGUUUCAGGUGUGUUCACUUCCCUCAUGUCUUCCCAGCCUUAGCAGCUGCCCUUCCCGAUUGUGUCCACCUGUGUUUCAUUAACAUCCCUUCCCCUUGUGUACUUAAGGGGUGUGCACUGUGUUGUUUGCGCGCCAGUUUGUCUUGUACUAUUUGUCAAGUGUGGCAGGACCUUUGUGCCAAACUAGUUAGUGGUUUCCUGGUCAAGCCUUCGACCCCGAUUACCCUUUCUGGAUGCCGUCUCUUGUCUCUUGCCUUCUACUAGUUUGUGUUGCAAACCCUGCCUGUCCUUGACCAUGUUUUUGUAAAUAAUGCUUCCUGUGACAUAAUCCCCAAGUUGUGAACCUUAAAAACAGUAUAGUGAAUCUAUUGUAAGCUUCUUUAUUAUUUAGUGUCGGUUUUUGAUUUUUUAAUCAACAAUUUUCUUAAAGAUUUUUAAAUUUUCUUUCUUUUUGUUUUGGUGGUUUUGAUGGUACAAUGUGCAAGACUGAAUUGAUUUUUUGUUGAAAUGCGAUACAAUGCAAAGUGCUACACAAAUAAACCUGCCUUGGCUA
ensembl:lncRNA